GGCACUUUGGCGGAGUGGUUAACGCGCCAGCCUGCUAUAGUAAUUCACAUACUUGGUCAGCUGGUUCCUUCGGGAGCGUGAGUUCGAAUCUCACAGGUGUCG